UGCCUUUUCUCAAUGGAGCUUACAAGAGGUCCAGCCAUUGAUUUUCGUCAAUCCCUCACAGACUUGACAGGCAGGUGGUGCGACUAUAAUCCUUGAAAGUCUUGGUGCAACAGUAAACAAGAUAAAUAAACGAAGUUCACAAACGCAUCAUUAUUGUCAUUGUGUGUUUACUUUGGGGAGGGUAUAUUUUAUUUGGGUUCUCUGUUACAAGUUGACCUCUGUCUCUCUCGAGUUUCUGUUCUUCUCUUCGUUUUUUGUCUUUCUUUUUUUAUUGCCUUCGUUGAUAGUGUUGCCUUUUGAUUGUUUGAUUUAUGUUUUCGGGUCCCUUUUACUUCUACUUUGUUUAUUUGCUCAUUCUAAUCUUCUCUGCUAUCGGUUAGGUUAUGCUUGUGGUUCUUCGUUUCUUCUCUGGUGUCUGUUAGGGGGUUUUUCAGGUUUAUUUUCUCUUUGCUCAGUUGUUUUGUUCACUAGCUAGCUUCAGGUUGCAGCUUUUCUAUCUUCUUGUUGUUUGUUGUUGCUCGCGCUUUAGGGAGUCUUUACUGGUAUGGCAGGUCCUUUUUUUCUGAUGAUGUGUUGUCUCUUCUUUCCCCACUUCUCUCUGUGUGGUUCUGGAAUCAUGUACGGCUUGGAUGAUUGUUGGGCUGUUUUUUCCUACCACACAAUAACACAAGGGGAAAUAAUCAAGUAAACUCAUGCCUAAGAUUCCAUGCAUUCUUUCUCAUUGUAAUUUGUUCAUAUCUAAUCGUUUCAAGGAAAUAAUAAACCACAUCCCAGAUAUUUUAUGAAACUACAUCUACAACAAAACAUGUCUUCCUAGUAAAAUAGAAGAUUUAAGAAAAACGACACUUCUUUGUAUUAUUAUCAGAAUAUGAUUUGUGUUUAAAUUCCUUCAACUGGCGACAAAUAUUAUAUGCAACCUAUGAACUCUUAUUAACGGAUAAGCUUACUGAAGAGCUGUGUCUAAAUCAAUAUUUUCUCAAAAAAAAAAAAAAAAAAAAGCCUUUGUACAUUCGUGAAACAUGGUCAAUUUCAAGAUGAAGCUGGAAUUUGGCCCAGAUAAUUACGUCCUUUCAUCUUAACAACAAAAUUUAAGUUGCAUCUUUGUACUAAAAAAAACGGCAAGCAUCCUGAUAUGCAUGGACAUAAAGAAAUUAUGAAGAAUAAUACUGAAGGCUUACCCAUGAAGGAACCAUUACUCGAAAGUUGAAAGGGUAAAUCCCAGCACAUACACCAAGUGACUCUAUGAUGUUAGGGGUUACUACAUCCUCAUAAGCAUGAAGAAAUGGAGGAGGAUAUUUAGCUAAAACCCAAAUCAAAUCAUAUAAAAAGAAAA